rnacentral:sRNA from 1 species
UGCAUCUGAGGCCUGCGAGGAUGAGAACCUCCGGGGGCAGGAGGUUCGACUCGAGCGAAGCGAGAGAACGUUGCGUCAGGCAACGGCCCGCAGGGCGAGCCACGAAGUGGUGAGUCAUCCUCUAUCACCGACCA